rnacentral:rRNA from 1 species
UCUGGCUCAGGAUGAACGCUAGCGACAGGCUAACACAUGCAAGUCGAGGGGCGAGCACGGGAGUAGCAAUACAACUGGUGGCGACCGGCGCACGGGUGAGUAACGCGUAUGCAACCUACCUAUCAGAGGGGAAUAACCCGGCGAAAGUCGGACUAAUACCGCAUAAAACAGGGGCACCGCAUGGUGAUAUUUGUUAAAGAAAUUCGCUGAUAGAUGGGCAUGCGUUCCAUUAGGUAGUUGGUGAGGUAACGGCUCACCAAGCCGACGAUGGAUAGGGGAACUGAGAGGUUGGUCCCCCACACUGGUACUGAGACACGGACCAGACUCCUACGGGAGGCAGCAGUGAGGAAUAUUGGUCAAUGGGCGAGAGCCUGAACCAGCCAAGUCGCGUGAAGGAAGAAGGAUCUAUGGUUCGUAAACUUCUUUUGCAGGGGAAUAAAGUGCGGGACGUGUCCUGUUUUGUAUGUACCCUGAGAAUAAGGAUCGGCUAACUCCGUGCCAGCCGCUGC